AGCAGUAAUGCGCUUCAGGAUCGGCCGCCCCCCGAUUAGCUAGUUGGUGAGGUAAUGGCUCACCAAGGCGACGAUCGGUAGCUGGUCUGAGAGGAGUGGUCAGCCACACUGGAACUGAGAUACGGUCCAGACUCCGUACGGGGGCAGCAGUCUAGAGGCUUCGGACAAUGGACGAAAGUCUGACCGAGCGACGCCGCGUGUGGGAUUGAAGGCCUUCGGGUCGUAAAACCACUGUCAGAAGGGAAGAAUGCCCGUAUGGCGAAUACGGGAGUGACGGUACCUUCAGAGGAAGCCCCGGCUAACUCCGUGCCAGCAGCCGCGGUAAUACGGAGGGGGCAAGCGUUAUUCGGAUUUACUGGGCGUAAAGGGUGCGUAGGCGGUCGUGCAAGUCUGGUGUGAAAUCUUCACCACUCAACGGGAAGAGGUCACUGGAAACUGCGCGACUUGAGUUUGGUAGAGGCUAGCGGAAUUCCUGGUGU
rnacentral:rRNA from 1 species